rnacentral:rRNA from 1 species
UACGAAGGGGGCUAGCGUUGCUCGGAAUCACUGGGCGUAAAGCGCACGUAGGCGGAUUGCUAAGUCAGAGGUGAAAUCCUGGAGCUCAACUCCAGAACUGCCUUUGAUACUGAGGAUCUUGAGUUCGGGAGAGGUGAGUGGAACUGCGAGUGUAGAGGUGAAAUUCGUAGAUAUUCGCAAGAACACCAGUGGCGAAGGCGGCUCACUGGCCCGAUACUGACGCUGAGGCACGAAAGCGUGGGGAGCAAACAGG